GGCGGUCAGAGACUAAUGGAGACACGGCUUGAGGGUGAUGACGGGGGAACAGAGGACGGAGAGCUCAGGAGGGCCCAGGUGAGGAGAAGCCUUGUGGUCUGGUGCAGCAUUUAACAGCUGCUGACAAACUGCAUGGGUUUGAAUCCAGAGCCCAUCACCUGAUAGUUUUGUGAUCCCGAGUAAGACAAGCAACAUCCAGAGAGAUACCAUAACUUGCCAAAGGCAUGACAGCUGAGACUGAGCCCGGGCUCUGCCAUCCUGAGCAUAUGAUGCUAGGCAAGUCACAUCACCUCUCUGUGCCUCAGUUUCCUCUCAACCAAAGACUAUCAUCUCUUCCCAGCCUUCUACCUCACAGAGUAGUUUGGAGGAUCCCAUAAAACAAUGUCUGUGAAAAAGGCUUUCUCUUUAAAAAAUAAAUUGCACAAAUAGCAGAUCACAAAGGACGAAGACCCUUUACAGAGGAGCAAGUUCUCUAGGGCACAGCUCCCUCCGAGCAAGACUUUGUAGAGAAUCUUGACCCCGGGAGCCCUGCAUCAGCAUCGCCAGUGGAUGCCGGUGUUAAUUCUGCGGACAUCAGGAGCAUGAGAAGAGACAAGGCCUUCGUGACGUUGCACAUGCAUGCUGGGUAAAGGCUUUGCAGGGGAAAUGUCUGGAAGGCAGAGGGCUAGGAAGAAGAGUUUAUUUAGGGGGAACAUUGCAAAGAUAAUACUUCAAACUCCUUUGUAGAAAAAACUUACUUAAAAAUCAAGACCCAAAGGCUGCAGAAAGGAGUCACCCAGCAAGCACUUAACAGCCAGCGAUGACUGACAGUUUGGUACAAAAGAAGACCAAAACUAAAGUGGGAGUGGGGAGCCGGACAAGCCAGAGUGUGCCUCACAGGCAAUGUAUCAAUAAGUUUCUUUUGGGCUUCCCUGGUGGCGCAGUGGUUGAGAGUCCGCCUGCCGAUGUAGGGGACAUGGGUUCAUGCCCCGGUCCGGGAGGAUCCCACGUGCCGCGGAGCGGCUGGGCCCGUGAGCCAUGCCCGCCGAGCCUGCGCAUCCGGAGCCUGUGCUCCGCAACGGGAGAGGACACAACGGUGAGAGGCCCGCGUACCGCAAAAAAAAAAAAAAAAAAAAAAAAAGUUUCUUUUUACAGCCCCUUCCCAUCUCCCAGUCAGCUGUACUUCUGAAGCUCUGGCCUCCUGUCUUGCCUUGAGCUUUAUGCCCCUCUCUUACGUUAACAGACAUCCAUCAGGGGUCACUCUGAAGUUCUCUUGGAGACAGCAUAGCUCAGUGAUUAAAAGCAGUGACUCUGGGGCCUUCUCUGUUGGUCCAGUGAGUAAGACUCAGCGCUCCCAAUGCAGAGGGCCCGGGAUCGAUCCCUGGUUGGGGAGCUGGACCCCGCAUGCCUGCCGCAACUAAGAGUCCACAAUGCCGCAACUAAGACCCGGCGCAGCCUAAAUAAAUAAAUAAAUAAAAUAAAAUAAAAGCAGGGACUCUGGAGUCUGCCUGCCUAAGUCUGAACCUCAGCUUUACCAAUUACUAGCUGUGCAUCAUCAGUCAAAUUUCUUCACUUCUCUAAGCCUCAUCUGCCAAAUGGAGUAACACCUCAUGGGAUUGUUAGGAAGAUUAAACGAGUUAAUAUAAUAGGAAAAUGCUUUGAAUAGUGCCUGGUACAUGGUCUGUAAUAUACAAACGUUGGUUAAAUAAAAUGAACUGCGAGAGAAGUGACUUCUGUACACCUUUCUGAGCCAGAAGAUAGAGCCACACGAUGACACACACUGAGCAACACAGAAGCCAGAGAAUGGAGUUGUUGGCAGUGGAAUUUACUGUUGGGAUAUGACAGAGAGAUGACUGUAUAUUAAGUACAUUAGAUAAAGCCAAGAGGACAGAUUAGAAUCUAGAAAGCACUAAUGGAAUUUCCCUCUAGAAUGCUGGGAAGGACCUCUACCUUCACAAGACAAACGUCAUGGCUUCUCAAUUGUGAAGGGGACACUGGGGGUCUGAACAAAGUACCUUUGCCAGGAUUUAAGAGGAUCCAUCUUUCACACCUAUCAAAGAAGGAACUUGCAACACAGCCUCUCUCUGAGUCUCAGGACAGUGGAACACCCCAGGGCUGGUGGGCAGGCCUGCUGGGGAGAAGAUAUAGUGUGUGUUAAAUGACUGACACUGGGUGGAACAAGAGGCUUGUCUCUGACUGGUGAGUUAGACACAGUCCUGGGCAGGAGGCCAAAUUAGAUGGGUUGGCAUUGGUCCCACUCUUCAGACCCAUCUAUCUUUGGUCUCUCAAAUUAAACCCAAAGUGGCAUCCAUCUUCACUCUGGUCUCCCAUUCCUUCCAGGAAGACUUCCUCCUUUUCCUGCCAAGCCUGAUCUAGUGGAGCAGAAAAGUCCAAUGCUUUGGUACAGAGUAAAUCUUUAUCUUGCCUUUAAAUGCACUUUGAAUGUUCUUGGCUCAUUGGUCAAACAUCCAUGUCCUCUGCAUAGUCACGUGAAUUGGUCUCUAGAGGAUAUGGAUUCUGUUUGCUUGAUUUGGCCAGAAGAGACAUCACUCAGCACAAUUACUUUUAAAAGGCGUUUGAUUAUAACUAACCAUACUGAAAGCACAUUUUCCAGACAAGAGCCUCACCUGUUGAUGAGGUUGCAUCCAGUUUUCUUUUGAAUUUUCUCAAGCUCCUUUUAGAUACAUAUUGUAAAACAAAUACCCUCAAUUAAGAGAUAAUUGAUAUUGAGAAGCCUCUCAGACCUUCUUGCCCCCAAGUGGCCUGAAUUCCCUUAUGGCACGGUUAAGGGCAUGGGCUCUGGAGUCUACAUUUCGUCUCCAAUACUUUGCUGGCUGUGCAACAUUGGACAAGUUACAUAAGCUCUCUGAAAAACGUAAACCCCAUCAGCAAAAUGGAGUUAGCUCAUAGAGCUCUCUGAGAAUUGAGUAAAAUAAUGCAAUAAAGCAUUUAUCACAUUACUUAACAUAUACUACAUGUCCAUACAUCAUCCUUAACAGCUGCAUUUUAAAAUUUGGAAUUCAGGGCUUCCCUGGUGGCGCAGUGGUUGAGAAUCUGCCUGCCGAUGCAUGGGACGUGGGUUCGUGCCCCGGUCUGGGAAGAUCCCACAUGCCGCGGAGCGUUUGGGCCUGUGAGCCAUGGCCGUUGAGCCUGCGCGUCCGGAGACUGUGCUCUGCAAAGGGAGAGGCCACGACAGUGAGAGGCCCGCUUACCGCAAAAAAAAAAAAAAAAUUUGGAAUUCAUUUGCUGAUUUGCGUUAUCUUUCCAAGGGCAAAUUGAUUAGCCUGCCCACCCAAAUUGUAAACUCUGAACGACAAAAAUGCAUAUAACAUAAUUUGUAAUCACUGCAGAGACAUUAAAAUUUUUGAUGACUUAUUAUCUAUACCAACUAGUGAUUCUCAAAAAUUUUUAGGUCACAGGCCAUUUCCACAAAAUGAAAAAUUCCAUAGAAUAGUAAAUUUAUUAUUUGUUUAUCUCUGCAAA